rnacentral:rRNA from 1 species
GAGUUUGAUCGUGGCUCAGAUUGAACGCUGGCGGCAUGCCUUACACAUGCAAGUCUAACGGCAGCAUGAUCUAGCUUGCUAGAUUGAUGGCGAGUGGCGAACGGGUGAGUAAUACAUCGGAACGUGCCCUGUAGUGGGGGAUAACUAGUCGAAAGAUUAGCUAAUACCGCAUACGACCUGAGGGUGAAAGUGGGGGACCGCAAGGCCUCAUGCUAUAGGAGCGGCCGAUGUCUGAUUAGCUAGUUGGUGGGGUAAAGGCCCACCAAGGCGACGAUCAGUAGCUGGUCUGAGAGGACGAUCAGCCACACUGGGACUGAGACACGGCCCAGACUCCUACGGGAGGCAGCAGUGGGGAAUUUUGGACAAUGGGCGAAAGCCUGAUCCAGCAAUGCCGCGUGUGUGAAGAAGGCCUCGG